rnacentral:rRNA from 1 species
UACGUAGGGGCCUAGCGUUGUCCGGAUUUAUUGGGCGUAAAGAGCUCGUAGGCGGUUCGGCAAGUCGGAUGUGAAAUCUCCACGCUCAACGUGGAGGCGCCAUUCGAAACUGCCGUGACUCGAGUCCGGUAGGGGAGUGUGGAAUUCCCGGUGUAGCGGUGAAAUGCGUAGAUAUCUGCAGGAACACCCGUGGCGAAAGCGGCGCGCUGGACCACAACUGACGCUGAGGAACGAAAGCUAGGGGAGCAAACAGG